GACGAACGCUGGCGGCGUGCCUAAUACAUGCAAGUCGAACGCAGUGGGGGCGGGGGAGUAACACGUGGGUAACCUCCCAUCAGAGGGGAUAACACUUGGAGACAGGGGCUAAACCGAUACUGAUGGAUGGACCCGCGGUGCAUUAGCUAGUUGGUGAGGUAACGGCUCACCAAGGCCACGAUGCAUAGCCGACCUGAGAGGGUGAUCGGCCACACUGUGACUGAGACACGGCCCAGACUCCUACGGGAGGCAGCAGUAGGGAAUCUUCGGCAAUGGACGCAAGUCUGACCGAGCAAAGCCGCGUGAGUGAAGAAGGUUUUCGGAGCGUAAAACUCUUUUGGUAGAGAAGCGCUACCUAACCAGAAAGCCACGGCUAACUACGUGCCAGCAGCCGCGGUAAUAC
rnacentral:rRNA from 1 species